rnacentral:lncRNA from 1 species
AAAGGCUAUGUAUUCUGAGCUCAUCUGGAUCAGAGGAGUCAGCACUGUCAUUUGUGUUUGGCAGAGACUGAAAGAUGUUCGUCUGAAGAUUUCAAAGCCCACUGCUGAUUUAAGGUCAUUCACAUUCAGCCAUGAAGCUGCUCUGAAGACACAGGAACUGCAUAGCUCCCUACUGGGAAUGUCAAGGGCUGUGAAAGGUCUAAGGUUUUAUCCUACUUGCAACCAACAAGCUAUGCAGCCACAGUUUUAUGGAUGCUGUCAAAAGACAUGACACUCCUGGCAUGCAGUUUAGGCUGCUAACAACAGCAUGAGGGCAACCUGCUGUGGUGACCUAAGCUAUGACACCCCACCCCAAGUCCGGGAUGCAGCUAACUGAGCAAACUGCAUGAACUGGGAGGCGGCCGACCAUUGUUCACGCCUCUCCUUCGCGUAUGUGUUUUCUACUGUUCUUGCACUGUAAAGGCAGAGGUUGCAUCGGGCCCUUAUGCAAAGCCCCAAAUAAUUACUGGCUGACUCUUCUCAGGGAACAUUUGCUAACCCUGUCACAAGCCAUAAGGUUCCACCACAGAUUGCCCUGUGGCUCUCUCGUUACGUUUCUGUGUGGACGUUUCCACAUGGUCUGAGGCAUUCAUCCAAGAAGAGCAGGAUGUAUUAGUGACUGCACAGAUUCUGCCUUGGCCCACAAAGAGGACAUCCAGGGCAGUCCUGGUCAUCUGUAAUAACAUUGCCCAGUGAGUUGAGGCUGACCUGAGUACUGACUUGGGUUGAGUUGGUGUCACUGAUCACUUCAGCCAAAGAUGGGACAUUUCUUAGCACCUGUUCUGAUUGGCUGACUUCUAUGGUCAGGAUAACGGCUCUCAGGAUGCGUAUAACUGCCAAGUCUCUCCGGGAAGCUUCCCUGGGUUACCAAGGAAUCCUCAUGUCUGAGAGAGCUCCACCAUCAUCCAAGGGCCACACGGAGUUUCUUGCAAUGCUUCAAGGUCUCCUGUAAUAACUCCUAUGAUAGAAGUCACUGUGUUUUGGGGAGGUAGACUGCAGCAUGCAGUUUUGACAGCAUGACCAAGGUCAUUGUUC